rnacentral:rRNA from 1 species
UACGUAGGGAGCGAGCGUUGUCCGGAAUUACUGGGUGUAAAGGGUGCGUAGGCGGGGGACCAAGUCAGGUGUGAAAACUAUCGGCUCAACCGAUAGCCUGCAUUUGAAACUGGUUCUCUUGAGUGAAGUAGAGGCAGGCGGAAUUCCCGGUGUAGCGGUGAAAUGCGUAGAGAUCGGGAGGAACACCAGUGGCGAAGGCGGUCUGCUGGGCUUUAACUGACGCUGAGGCACGAAAGCAUGGGUAGCAAACAGG